rnacentral:rRNA from 1 species
UACAGAGACUGCAAGCGUUAUUCGGAUUCACUGGGCGUAAAGGGUGCGCAGGCGGUUGGGUGUGUCAGAUGUGAAAUCCCGAGGCUUAACCUCGGAACUGCGUCUGAAACUGAAAGGCUAGAGUGUGGCAGAGGGGGGUGGAAUUCCACGUGUAGCAGUGAAAUGCGUAGAGAUGUGGAGGAACACCGAUGGCGAAGGCAGCCCCCUGGGCUAACACUGACGCUCAUGCACGAAAGCGUGGGGAGCAAACAGG